rnacentral:rRNA from 1 species
CAGUCGCCGCGGUAAUACGUAGGGUGCGAGCGUUAAUCGGAAUUACUGGGCGUAAAGCGGGCGCAGACGGUUACUUAAGCAGGAUGUGAAAUCCCCGGGCUCAACCUGGGAAUUGCGUUCUGAACUGGGUGGCUAGAGUGUGUCAGAGGGGGGUAGAAUUCCACGUGUAGCGGUGAAAUGCGUAGAGAUGUGGAGGAAUACCGAUGGCGAAGGCAGCCCCCUGGGAUAGCACUGACGUUCAUGCCCGAAAGCGUGGGUAGCAAACAGGAUUAGAUACCCCAGUAGUCCCUGUCUCUUAUAC